rnacentral:rRNA from 1 species
AUUGAACGCUGGCGGCAGGCCUAACACAUGCAAGUCGAACGCGUGGCGGACGGGUGCGUAAUGUCUGGGAAACUGCCCGAUGGAGGGGGAUAACUACUGGAAACGUUAGCUAAUACCGCCUACCAUCGGAUGUGCCCAGAUGGGAUUAGCUAGUGGGUGGGGUAAAGGCUAACCUAGGCGACGAUGCCUAGCUGGUCUGAGAGGAUGACCAGCCACACGGGAACUGAGACACGGUCCAGACUCCUACGGGAGGCAGCAGUGGGGAAUAUUGGACAAUGGGCGAAAGCCUGAUACAGCAAUGCCGCGUGUAUGAAGAAGGCCUUCGGGUUGUAAAGUACUUUCAGCGGGGAGGCGUUACCCGAAGAAGAAGCAACGGCUAACUCCGUGCCAGCAGCCGCGGUAAUAC